rnacentral:lncRNA from 1 species
CCUCUCCUGGACUUGCUCCAACUUUUCCACGUCCUACUUAUGUUGGGUACUCCAGAACUAUAUGAAUAUUCAUAAAGCUGUUAGUUGUUGCAUCUUACAACAGCUUGUCAUAUAUUUCUGACCACUGUACUGCUGCAUGGGUGUCUUCUCCCUCCAAAUUAUUUUUAAGAAAAUAUCAAUCAUGAGUUGGAAGGAACCCUACUGUUCUUCAGUCUGGGGCACUCAGCAGCGAAGAAGCGAAGAAACUUUUUUAUUUUGCUCUACCAAGACUGGGUCAGUUAAUGAAGCAAAGUAUUGAAGAGCUAUCCACCUUCACCCUAGAGCAGAAAGAAAUAAUCCUUUGUUCUCGGCUGUUGUAUUUUAUGUAAUUAGGAUAUAUUUUUUCAAUCAUUCUGGAUGCAUUCAAGUUGUAAGUGGCUCAGGAUGCACACAGUGAAUUAUUAUACUGUUGGCCUAUACUGGAAGCUUUAUGAGCUGUUCUGCAUCCUGAUUUGUUAGAGAAAGAUGAAACCCCAUAAAAGUCAAGCUGAAAGCUACAAAAAACAUUACUGCUUUGUUUUUCCUAUUUAUGAAGCACUGAACUGUAGAGUACUCUAAUGAUAGCUUGUAUUAAUUUUAACAAACUUGAAAAUCUUGCUGACUAGUCUAACAUUUAGGUGCUUUUUCAUUCUCUUUCUCACCAACCUUUAGCUUUUUGCUGGAGGCACCACAUUUGUUAUGUUAGCGUAAGCAGAUAAUUACAAACAGUUGUAAAAUGAAACACCACCACUGGUAAAGCUGAGAGGCUUUUAAAAGUUUCAUCCCAUUCAGCUACAGAAAAAUCAAUUUAAAUUAAAAUAUAUGGAUUGUGAACAUAGCAGUUUUAUUAAAACAAAAUAUUUUUGUUUGUUUGUUUUGCUUUUUAAAUAGCUUCAGU